UUACUUGUAUAUUACCGACUACCGGAGGCCGCCUGUUUAAUGUUCUUCUCUCAAAAACCCUACUGGUGAUCUUUCCUCUUUCCUCAACAACAAAAUCACGAUUUCCACCGUUUUAUAUUCACGAAAUUGUCGAGGCAUUGUGAAACUGCAACAGCCUAAUGGGAUUUUUCUUCUAGACUCGCUUCAUAUACCUUUCGAGCGCUCCAAUCAAUUUCUCUCGAAGUUCAUCGUCGUGCUCGAUUCGCGGAUAAUCCAAUUCCAGCAUGACACAGAGAAUCGAACUCUAGAACUUUAUACUACUGGUUAUAAUUCUCGAUCUUUUAGUCAAGGUUACUGAGUUUCGGAACCCUGAAAUCCAUUUACCACAUACAACAUACUGAUGCACCAGUCAAUGAAUAAGCUUAUAGAAAGCAUUAUCCACCAUUUUUGGGACAGUGAGAUAUGACAUUUAGGAAAAGAUUGCACAAGAUGAAUGUCGACCUAAAUGGCUGGCUGAGAAGGGAAUAUCACUUGUGAAACACUUCCUACAUUUAAGAUAGUAACCAUAUGACUAUCUAUACUUCUUCAAGAUAUUGUACGAGUUCUUGAAACAAAACUAUAGAAGAAUGUGAGCAGCUAAUGCAAAGGAAUCCUCGACUUGGGAAAGCAUGGACACUAAAGCGAUGGACCCUAGAGCAUUUCCGUCAAAAGGAUGAUGCCAAAGUUAUGACUGGCGCAUAGAUUGUUUUGGAAGUUUAGGGGAAAAGUUAUGAAAUAAUUGUAUGUUGGAAGUAACUCUAUAUUUGGUUCAAAUUGUUUGUAAUGUACUGAAAAGUAUGAAAUGAUAAUGGAUGUUAUUGUGAAUAAAUUAUUGUUAAUUUAUUGUUUUC